rnacentral:pre_miRNA from 1 species
AAUAAAGCAAACCCUGAAUUUCCGUGUCUAACUUUGACUGUCCGUCUUAUAUAAAUUUUUUUUAUAAUUCAUAUUUUUAUUGUUGUUAGAUGAUAAAACAUGAUUAAAAUUUUAUGCGUGACUUGUCUUUUUAUUUUUUUUAUAAUUCUUUUAAAUAAGACGGACAGUCAAACGUUAGGCACGGAAACAGGGUUUGUCUUUUU